AACGCACAUUGCGCCCCUUGGUAUUCCAUGGGGCAUGCCUGUUCGAGCGUCAUUUGUACCCUCAAGCUCUGCUUGGUGUUGGGCGUUUGUCCCGCGUUUUCCGCGUGGACUCGCCUUAAAACAAUUGGCAGCCGGCAUGUUAGCCUGGAGCGCAGCACAUUUUGCGCCUCUUGUCUCUCUUGUUGGCACCCAUCAAGCCCAUUUAUUUGCUCUUGACCUCGGAUCAGGUAGGGAUACCCGCUGAACUUAA
rnacentral:misc_RNA from 1 species